GCAGGGUUAGUACAUCGGUAGUACCCGUGCUUCCCAAGCAUGUGAGGCGGGUUCGACUCCCGUACCCUGCUCCA
rnacentral:tRNA from 1 species